rnacentral:rRNA from 1 species
GAAAGAUUCAUCGGAAGAGGAUGGGCAUGCGGCGCAUUAGCUAGACGGCGGGGUAACGGCCCACCGUGGCGACGAUGCGUAGGGGUUCUGAGAGGAACCUCCCCCACACUGGUACUGAGACACGGACCAGACUCCUACGGGAGGCAGCAGUGAGGAAUAUUGGUCAAUGGGAGAGAUCCUGAACCAGCCAAGCCGCGUGAGGGAAGACGGCCCUAUGGGUUGUAAACCUCUUUUGUCGGAGAACAAAACCCGGGACGUGUCCCGGACUGCGUGUAUCCGAAGAAAAAGCAUCGGCUAACUCCGUGCCAGCAGCCGCGGUAAUACGGAGGAUGCGGGCGUUAUCCGGAUUUAUUGGGUUUAAAGGGUGCGUAGGCGGUCCGUUAAGUCAGCGGUAAAAUUGCGGGGCUCAACCCCGUCGAGCCGUUGAAACUGGCAGACUUGAGUUGGCGAGAAGUACGCGGAAUGCGCGGUGUAGCGGUGAAAUGCAUAGAUAUCGCGCAGAACUCCGAUUGCGAAGGCAGCGUACCGGCGCCAGACUGACGCUGAGGCACGAAAGCGUGGGGAUCGAACAGGAUUAGAUACCCUGGUAGUCCACGCAGUAAACGAUG